rnacentral:rRNA from 1 species
CGUGUAGGCGGCCUUGUAAGUCGGGGGUGAAAUCCACUGGCUCAACCAGUGACGUGCCUUCGAAACUGCUUGGCUUGAGUAUGGCAGAGGAGAGCGGAAUUCCAGGUGUAGCGGUGAAAUGCGUAGAUAUCUGGAAGAACACCGGUGGCGUAGGCGGCUCUCUGGGCCAAUACUGACGCUGAGGCGCGAAAGCCAGGGGAGCAAACG